rnacentral:lncRNA from 1 species
GUGGAUAGGUGCAUUUGUGGUAUUUGUGGUUAAUUUCUGUUUCUUUGGGAACAACUCUCUAUUGAAACUUUUCAGGAAAGACAUGGGCUAUCUUUAUUAUUUAUUUUUUAUUCAGGGGGGCGGGCAUCUAGUACCCAUUGUUUUAACUACUAGGACAUUUGUCCAUCUUUUACUCCCUUUCCUUCUUUUAUAUUUUUACAUGGCCA